UACAGAGGGGGCAAGCGUUGUUCGGAAUUACUGGGCGUAAAGGGCGCGUAGGCGGCCUGUUAAGUCGAACGUGAAAUCCCCGGGCUCAACCCGGGAACUGCGUCCGAUACUGGCAGGCUUGAAUCCGGGAGAGGGAUGCAGAAUUCCAGGUGUAGCGGUGAAAUGCGUAGAUAUCUGGAGGAAUACCGGUGGCGAAGGCGGCAUCCUGGACCGGCAUUGACGCUGAUGAGCGAAAGCUAGGGGAGCAAACGGG
rnacentral:rRNA from 1 species